rnacentral:ncRNA from 1 species
UACUUGGUUGAUCCUACCAAUAGUCAUAUGCUUGUCUCAUAUAUUAAGCCAUGCAUGUCUAAGUAUGAACUAAUUCAGAUUGUGAAAUUGUGGACAACUUAUUAAAUAAAUUAUAGCUUUUUUAUGGUACCUUACUAUACUUGGAUAACCAUACUAAUUCUAGAGCUAAUAUGUGCACCAAGUCCCGAAUCUUCAUAAAGGAUGCAUUUAUUAGAUAAAAAUACAUUGUCAGAUGGCUCGCUUCUUUGGUGAAUCAUGAUAACUCAAUGGAUUGCAUGGCCCCUAUGAUAUUAAUGCUUCAUUUAAAUUUCUUCCCUAUCAAAUUUCAAUGGUAGGAUAUAUGCCUACCAUGGUGGUGAUGGGUGAUGGACACUCUAUGGUUCAAUUUAGAAGAGGGAUCCUAAGAAACAACUACCACAUCUAAGGAAUCAAUAGGUGCACAAAUUACCCAAUCUUGACAUGUUGAGGAAGUGACAAUAAAUAAAAAUAUUGGGCUCAUUAAUCAAACAUGAAAGUUUGGGUCUCAAAGAUAAUAAGAUACUAUCCUAGUCUCAACCAUUAGUGAUGUUGACUAGUGAUUGAUGAAUGUUUCUCUAAGGAAUCCACCAACAUCUUUUGAGAAAUUAGGGUGGUUGGGUUUCGGAGGGAGUAUGGUUGCAAGGAUAAAACUAAAGGAAUUUAUGGAAAGGAACCACAAAAAGUGAAGCUUGUAGCUUAAUUUGACUCAACAUGGGAAAAUUUAUCAAGUCCAAAAAUACUAAGGAUUAACACAUUGAGAGUUGUUUCUUGAUUCUAUGGGUGGUGGUGUAUGGUCAAAAUAGGAGGAUCCCUAUCAUUUCAAUAUGGGCCCCAUUGAUUAUUGUUGACUAAUAAACAAGUAGAGAAAUAUCCCAUCCAUUGUUCUCUCACUUAAUAUCUCGGUUAAUGUGUCUCGGUCAAUGUUUCGAUCACUAUUAUCUAAAUGGAUACAAUAUAUUAUAGUUUUCAUUUACUUUCCUAAGAAAGAGUCAUUUCAUGUAAAUAAUGGUGAUAAGCAAGUCGAUCAUUAGGUUUGCUUCAUUUUAACUGAUGAUCAUUA